rnacentral:rRNA from 1 species
UUAUUGGGCGUAAGCGAGCGCAGGCGGUCUUUUAAGUCUAAUGUGAAAGCCUUCGGCUCAMCCGAAGAAGUGCAUUGGAAACUGGGAGACUUGAGUGCAGAAGAGGACAGUGGAACUCCAUGUGUAGCGGUGAAAUGCGUAGAUAUAUGGAAGAACACCAGUGGCGAAGGCGGCUGUCUGGUCUGCAACUGACGCUGAGGCUCGAAAGCAUGGGUAGCGAACAGGAUUAGAUACCCUGGUAGUCCAUGCCGUAAACGAUGAUUACUAAGUGUUGGAGGGUUUCCGCCCUUCAGUGCUGCAGCUAACGCAUUAAGUAAUCCGCCUGGGGAGUACGACCGCAAGGUUGAAACUCAAAAGAAUUGACGGGGGCCCGCACAAGCGGUGGAGCAUGUGGUUUAAUUCGAAGCUACGCGAAGAACCUUACCAGGUCUUGACAUCUUCUGACAGUCUAAGAGAUUAGAGGUUCCCUUCGGGGACAGAA